UUUACCAUGGCGGAGUUGAUCUCUUUCGUAGUUCCCAACCAGAGCGACAAAGUUUUGUUGGUGUGGGAGUUGAGCGCUGGUCCUCCAGCCGAGGCCUUAAGUCAUUCUCUGUUCACAGUGUUCUCCCAGUUUGGCCUUCUGUAUUCAGUCCGAGUCUUCCCGAACGCUGCAGUGGCCCGUCCUGGUUUCUACGCCAUCAUCAAGUUUUACUCCUCAAGGGACGCGCAGAGAGCCCAAAAAGCAUGCGACGGAAAGCCCCUUUUUCAGACAUCACCAGUGAAGAUUCGUCUUGGCACCAGACAUAAAGCACUGCGACAUCAGGCCUUUGCCCUAAACAGCUCACGAUGCCAGGAACUGGCAAAUUACUACUUUGGCUUCAAUGGAUGGUCGAAAAGGAUCGUCAAGUUGCAGGAGCUCUCUGGACUGGAGGAUGCAGCUCUUGCUGUACCCUUGCAGAAGCGGAACCCCCAGUUCUUCUGUGCUGUAGAGGUGGUGCUGCCGUCCUACGAAUGCAGGAGUCCUGGAGUUGGCAUCUCUGAGGAGCCUCAGCACCAGCUGGAGGAAGCAAACACUGAGCCCUCAUCAGCGUCCGUUCGCAAUCCUUCAGUCUGGUUGGACACAGGACAGUCAUCGUUUCUUACAAAGAGGAAGACCGCUCAGAAGCUCGCCUUCCAGGCGGCUUUAUCAGAUGCCUUCCAGAAGCUGAGCAUCCUGGUUCUAGAAAGUGGCAAGAUCGCAGUGGAGUACAGACCCACAGAAGAGGAUCUAGAUGCCGGAAGUGAAGAAGAACUGCAGAAUUUAAUCCAGAUUAUAAAAUCGGCUCUGAAGGAGGUCAGCUAGUUAGCUUCUCCAUGCCAGUGUGUGAGCAGAAUCUCUUGUGAGGGAGUAGCUACGUCUGUCAACUGCUUUCAGCCCAGCCAAAAGGAGGAAGAAUGUCUCUCAGAUUUCAGCCUGGAGGAGGAAGACCUGAAGCUGUGUGAACUGCACUAGCAGCUCUGACUGUGUCAGAGGCCCUGCUGUCUGGCUGUGACAGGAAGUUCUGCCUUUCUAAUCAGUGGGUUGCUGGCAUCUGUGAACACCCAAGCAUGAGGCCUAGAUCUUGUGGCUAUGUAGGAGAGCGCCUUGGGGGGGGGGUCUAAAGGAGGCUUAAGCCCUGUCACUACAGUGGGAAAAGGUUCCCCAUACAGAAUGGAACUAUGUCACAUCAUAAUAAAGGCUGCCUAACGAA